GUCGUGGCCGUCGCAGGAGCUCGGCUGCGGGAAGACAGUGACCGGUGGGGCUCGGGCAAGUGCCCGGUUACAGACGCCCGCGCACGGCCAGCCUAUGGGCUCCGACGGCCUGACAUCACCCGGGGCCCGCCAAUCCCAGGCCGAACCCCCCCCAGCCGUCGCGGAUGCCACGGGGGCGCCAACUACUCUGCCACACCUGGCCGCGGCUCUGCACCCGCCCCGGGCCAGAUGUGACCCCGCCCCCUGCGCCUCUCCCUAAGCUGGGAGCUGAGCCCCCACCUUCAUCCCCGCCCGAGAGGAGAGAGGGCUGACCGUGGGCAGAGGGGGCCUCUCAUAUUUGGCUGCCGGCUCCGGGUCGCGUCCCCACCGUUUCCCUCCUGCAUCUGGAAACCAUCGCCAUCCACGAAAGCGACACCGACACCCGCGCUCAAGCCUCGGAUUUCAGGGGCCGUAAGGCGGGGUCGGGUGACAGCGCGGCUUCCCGCCCCGUCGCAGCUGCCCCCAACUAGGCCCAGCUCAGUGAGGGAGAGUGAGGCGGCCGGGCCAAAGACUGAGUGACCGGGUGGGGGCUGUCCCCUGCCCCACUCUCCAGCCCAUGCGUCCCUGCGGUGGCCUCAGACCCUUCACCCCGCCCGACCUGGCUCACGUUGCAGGAAACGCGACACCGCAGGAUUCGUUUUCUGGGCCAGCCCGCCGGCUCCGCGCCCCCUGCAGCCCGGAGGCUCCGACGCCACGACCCUGCUCCCACCUGCGGUCAGGCACCCGCGCGGGAGGCGCCGCGGCGACACAAAGAGCCCUUUGUAGAGCUUCCCGGCCCGGGCCCUGGCGUCUGCGGCCCAGCACGCACACAGCCGGGAGGGACGCACACAGCCGGGAGGGGGCUCGCACAGCCAGGAGGUGACCUCACAGACCUGGCACUUGGGCUCAGCGGUGGAGAGGGGGCACUGGCUGGGCCACCUGUCCUGUGGAUUUGGGCGGGGCCCACAGUCUGCGCCGGGAGCUCAACGAUUCCAGGGCCCCUGCAGCCCUACCCGCCCGGCCCCCUCUGCCUCCCAGAGAUGAAAGGGGAAAGCCACUGUGGGAGCUUGGUCUAAGGUGGCGUGAAGAGGGCAGCUACUGGAGCUGGCCUGCAGCUCUAGUGCUGGAAAGCCCUGGGGAGGCAGAAGGAAGGGCCAGAUUUGGAAGCAUGCAGACAGCCUUUCCCCCAAGAAUGAGACUCUCCACCACCUGGAAACAACUUGCCGAGGGCCAAGGUGGGCUCCGGGCACCACUUGGUACACCUGUUGUGGCCCCUGGCGUUGCUGGGCUUCCUCUCCCUGGCCCUGCCCUGCCCCAGCCCAGCACUUAUUGGGGGAAGACCAGGCACUCCGGUUUGGAGGGGAAGCACUGGAGGCUUUGGUGUGUCUAGAGGGCAGGGUCACCUGGAAGGGGAGGGUCUACUCCUUGGGAGUACAGAUGGCCACAUCCAAUCUUUGCAGGGCACCCUGCCAGGUCUGGAGGCCACCAUCUGGUGGCGUGAAGCAGGCAUUGCAAGUGGAUGGACGCCCAUGCUCAGGGCACGGUCAGGGUGUGUGUACACACAAGCCUGCAGUCUGCCGAGGCGAUUGUGAAUUUGUGUAUGUUUGAGUGUGUACGCAUUUGUGCACAUGCUUCUUUGUAUUGAUGAAUGUGUGUGCAUUGCUCUGUGGACAUGGUGUGUGUGUGUGUGCAUAUCUGUAGUAUGGAAAUAGAGCAUUGUGUGCUUGUGUGUAAGGUGGGUGUGUGCAGAUAUUAGCAUGGCUCUGUAUGUGUGUUCAUAUCUGUAUGCUGUGUGUACACAUGUACAAGUGUGUGCUUUUGUGUGUGAGUAGCUAAGAAUAAUGAAUGGUGGGUGGCACACGUGGAUUUUGUGGGUGGGGAGAGUACAUGUGGAUGUACAUGUAUGUCUGUGAUGAGCACACACAAGUAUGAGUGACAUCUGUCUCUCACCAGAAAGGGUGUCGCCUCCCCAUGUUUAAAAGCAAGUGAUAAGAGUAGUCUCCGAUAUUGGCUGUGGCAGGCUGGCCCAAGGCCAACCCUCACAGCCCAGCAGUCUGGCUUCAGUCUGCUCUCCCUCCCCCUCUUCCUCCUGGGCACACUCACCACGUGGAGGGUGCUGGCCCUUGAUGCUGGAGUGGCUGGAGGAGCAGGAGUCGUAGUUGGAGAGGGUGCUGGUGGGCGAGCUGAGGUCAAAGUUCAGAGGCUGGACCGACACCGUGGUGUUGGGUGAGGACAUGCCUGAAUCCGGCUGCUUCGCCUCCAGCUCCACGGAUGGAUCCCGGGAGAGCACGCAGUGCUCCAUGCUCUGAAGGGGAGGCAGGGAGGCCAUGAAGGCAACUGCACCCCAAGAUGCGUUGCUCUCCAGGCCAGGGUCCUACUCAGCCAUGCCUUUGCCGUGGGAUCUUGGCCAAGCCACACCCCUCUCUGGGGUCUCUUCCCCAUCGCUAGAGGGUCUUUCAGGUUCCUCCGGGUUAAGAUUCAAGCCCAGCCCCGCCAGGCAGAGGACCCAGGUUCCUGGGAAACUCCCUCCCCUGGCUCCUCCCUGAUUAGGAGGGUGGAGAGAUCGACGAGGAGGGGGCCUUGAGCUGCACCCCAGGGGGAGAACUGCCAGGAGAUCGGCCUUCUCCCUCACAGAUCGGCACAGGCUCCAUGGGGAAGGGCACAGCACAGGCCCAUCCCUAGUGACCUGGCUGGCAAGCCAGCUCUCCUUGCCAGACCUGGGACCUGGAGCAGACUCCCAACACCAGCCCGGCCUGUCUCCUGAUGGGGCCCUUGGGGUAAGGGUAGGGCCUGGAUGGCCAGCUGAGCAGUGAUGGGCAGCCAGAGCUCAGGCUGCCAGGCCUGCCAUUCCCCCGCCCUGCCCGGUCUGUGCGUCUGACCACAGGCCUGUCCCCUCCCGGUGCAGAGGGGGCUGUGGUAGGGGCCCUGCUUACAUUGCCCAUGCUGCCCCUGCUGCCGGCAAGCCCGCUUGCUCCGCUGCCUCCUGCCCAGGCCUGCUCCUCCUUGCCCCGUGCCCCCUCCCUACCUAAGAAGUGUCACAGGCACCCUGGGAGAGAGAGGCAGGCCUGGCACCAGGUAACGGCUCAGCGGCCGCGCUCAUUGGCCCCGUAAUUAGGGGCUCUGCUGGAGUGUUUGCCUUUUCUGGGCCAGCGUCUUCUGUGGCUUGGGUCUGUCCCUGCCUCAGCUGGGCCUGCUUGAGUGAGGGGACCAGGGCACACACACCCCACCCAUUCCAGGGGACCAGGCCCUGUUACCUACCGCAGGAGUCAGGGGAGCCAUAGGAGGUGGCAUGGGCAGCACCCAAAGGUGCUCUUUACCUGGGCAACAGCAGUGGGUGCUGAGGGCACCAAGCCCUGACCCCUGUAGGCAGCAGAUAAGAGGCUGGGCCACAGCAGGUGUACUGCGCCUGGCCUGAGCCACCCAGCUCUGCAGUCUGGGACUGUGGCUUCAAACUUUCCCUCCCCGACUUACUAGCUAUUUCAGGCGAGUCACCUGUGCUUUUUGUGCCUAUGUUUCUUUAUCUGCAAAUGGGGGUAACAGCACUACUUGCUCUGCUGAGCUCCAGGACAUGGCGCCCAGUAAAUGCCAUACUGUCAAAUUUUUUUUUUUUUUUUUU